rnacentral:rRNA from 1 species
UACGUAGGGGGCAAGCGUUGUCCGGAUUUAUUGGGCGUAAAGAGCGUGUAGGCGGCCAGACAGGUCAGCUGUGAAAACUCGAGGCUCAACCUCGAGACGUCGGUUGAAACCGUCUGGCUAGAGUCCGGAAGAGGAGAGUGGAAUUCCCGGUGUAGCGGUGAAAUGCGCAGAUAUCAGGAAGAACACCAACGGCGAAGGCAGCUCGCUGGGACGGUACUGACGCUGAGGCGCGAAAGCGUGGGGAGCGAACAGG